AAAGCCCAGAGGAGGAGGGGCUGGAGGGAGUUUCAGUUUGGGGAUGACUGGGACAUGGAGUGAAGUGCAGAGGGGGUUCUCUGGCUCACUGCCCCCCAAAAUGGACCCAGCUGAGGGGUCCUGCUCUCUGCACCUACAAGCUCUGUUUUAGACUGUGUUCCUGUCGUCAAUAAACCUUCUGUUUUACUGGCUCGCUCAGAGUCACGUCUGACUGUGGAGUUGGGGGGCAGGACCCUCUGGCUUCCCCAGGACCCCGCCUGGGCGGACUCGCUGGGGGAAGCGCACGGAGGGGCAGAGGAUGCUGAAUGCUCCGAGGUCAGACCCAGGAAGGUGGAAGCUGUGUGAGCUGUGUGUCCUGCAGACAGGCUGCUCACAGAAAGGCGACUGCCCCAGAGUCCUGACUGGCUUCAUGGGGAGCAGUUCCAGAGCAUCGCCCAGGGACUCCGUGACAACUGGUGGCAGCGGUGGGAUGUACUGCACCCCGUGGAUGGCGCUUCCUGCAGUAAGUGACUGGGGAGCAGUAACACGAAGGGGGAUUGCCGAGGACCAGGCCUGCUGAAGGCUCAGAGAGGAGCGGUUUCGGGGGGCGGUUAACCCCUGGGAGUGUGUGACCAGCGAGAAGGACUGUGCAGUAAUGGGGUCCCCCUGGGGACUGCAGUGAGCAGUCUCAGGGGCGGAGAAGCCUGCAGCUUGGCCCGGGGAGAGAGAAGGACUUUUGCAGUAACAGGGUUCCCCUGGGGAUUGCAGCGAGCAGUCCAAGGGGCGGAGGAGUCUGCAGCUCGACCCUGGCAAAGAGGUGGUGACCUCGAGAAGGGCUGGCACACUAGGGGUUCUCCCUGGAAACCGUGGGGAGCUGAGAACACACGGGCCUGUGAGUCCACAACAACUUGGGAGGAGCGGAGUGAUGGCCUGUCACCGUCUCCUUAAGAAGGACAUUGUAACCCUGUGCAGAAAGAGAGGGUUGAGCGUUGGAAAGUUCACCAAAGCAGAGUUAAUCGUGCAGCUGGAGGAGGAUGACCGCUCUAAGGAACAGAUUCCUGACCCCAACUGGGGCUAUAGCAGGAUCUGGGAGCAGCUGAAGCGGGAGCCAGGCAUCGCCAAGACUCCUGUCCCCGACCAGACGAGGGUCUUCACGAUCGGGUUCCCCAUCGGGGGAUCGAGACGGACGGGAUUGGAGCGGAGUCUGAGAGAGCAAGAGGACCGUGGGAGACAGCGAGAGCCCGAGAAAGAGCUGCAGAAGCAGCAGCAGGAUGAACUGGCGGUGGUGGGGCGGAGAGGCCGAGGGGACCUCCCCGGGGUGAGUGGGGAUAGAUCCCGGGGGGCCAGUUCCGCAGGGAACCUCGAGACUAAAUUGCUGCCCCUAGUUAAGGGGGGGGGGUGUGGAUGCCCACCUCACUGCCUUUGAGCAGGCUGGAGAUCUGAACCAGGGGGACCCUGCGGAAAACCCCGGUGUCUAGCUCCCUUGCUGGGUCCCAAGGCCACAGACUCCAUCAGCCAGAUGGGUGGGGAGGUGGACAGGCUCCCACUCCUGACCCCAACCUAUAUGUCUGUGUGGAGUUCCCUGGGGUCAGGCCCCUCGGACCCCCAGUGGGAGCGGAAGGGGAUGGUCAAUGGGGAGACAUUCCUGGGGUGGCGAGAUCCUGGGACAGAGAGAACUGGUGUCAGACCCUGGGUGGUGCAGCCUCAGAGGCUGAGGGCCUGUGUGAGCUGGGUGAGGGUCCCAGGGACGAAGCCCCUCGCCCUGCCUAUGGCCCAGAUCCCUGUGCAGACCCAGGAGGGGUGGGGCUGGCUGGCCGUUGGGGUGCUCCAGGACACCAGCUGCGAGACCCUGUUGUGGGGUGACUGUGUCUCUUUGGGACAGGAUCCAGGCCCUGCUCCUGUAACUGCCGAGGGUUUGAAUUUGAAUCCAGGGAACCAAUCGGUGGAGAGGGAAAUGGUCAGUGAAAAUGCAGAUGACCUGGCUGGCAGCAGGGAGGAGCCGCUAGGCUCAGGCUACCUGCCUGCCUGUAACCAGACCCCUGGGACUCGGUGGGACAGAGAGAUGCUCCCUGCCCCCUUGCACACCAGACUGGGGACUCUCGCUGGCUCUGAUGCAGUGAGGAAAGCAGUGGCCUGCCCCCACUGGGACAGCAAGGGCAGCGCUGAGCACAGUGGGAGCUGAGACCCCAGCUGAGUGGGGGGAGACACAGGCAGGGCAGGGGAUCUGUGGGGAGUGGCAAGGUGCUUGGUAAGGGAAGUUUGGAUGAGCCUAGGCAGCCUUGUGAGCUGAUGGCUGUGUCCAGUCAGCAGGGUGGGAAGGCGAGGAGAGUGGAAGAUGAGAGUCCCUGGACCUUACCUGUUAGCUGGGUGGAGAAUUGGGACAGUGAAGGAAAUGGGUCUCUGUCUGUCAGGGGUAUUGACUUGCCUAUGGAGGGAGCUACCCUGAUCUCCAAGCAGUUGUCUGUGACCAGCCUUGUGUGCUGGGACAAAGGGAAUGAGAUCCCAACCUGUGUGUCUGGUAAAGGAGAAAGUGUGUCCGGCUCUUCUUGGUCUGUGGAGCAGACAGAAGGGGCCUUUCAGCCUGUGAUGGUUGAGGGUCAUGCAGUUGUCUCAGAGCUGGUUCUGGAUUCAGCUAAAGCCCAGGAAGGGAAGGGUCCUAAGUUUCUGUCUGCUCGGGAGAAUGGCCCUGUAACUAGGUCGCAUCCAGUUAGGGUCUAUGUAAAAUCCCCGAGACCAGACAAUUCUGGUGCUUGUAUUUUGCCUGUUGCUAGUGUGUUGUUGGAAAGGGUGUAGCAACUCUGUCUAAUCAGGGUGAGAUCCUAGCCAGGGCACAAGGAGAGCAGGAAGGUGUGUGAUUGUGGAACCUACUGAGGGUGUGGAAACCUGUAGCAAGAAGGAAAAGAUUCCUGAACUUGUGUGUGGCAAAGGGAAGGAGAAUGCUUCUAACCUUUUAUCUAGGAAGUCUGUAAGUUUGCAUGAAAGGGGAUUGUGUAGGAAUCCGCCUGAUGGGCCAGAGGUAAUUCUGGAUGUAAGUGAGACCCAGAAAGAGUCUGUAGUUGCUCAGGAAAGUGUUCCCCUAGAGCAAGCCCUAGGUAAAGAGGGUAAGAGCAGAAUUUCUGGGAGGGGGUGAAUUGUUGCAUAGAAAAGCCCUCGGGAAAGGAAUCCUCAUGGAGUCUUUGCAAGCAGUUUACUGCCACUGAAGGGUGUGAAAGUGAUUUAAUCAAGAAAGUUUCAGUUCCUAACAGCCAGAAAUUUUCUGUUGUGAAUGGAUCCACUGACUUUCCUGUUGAAAGAUCCAGUGUGGAGAGCUUUGAGAAGGUCUCAGAUGGAGUGAAAGCUGUUAAGAAAGGUAUACCGUCCUAUAACCAAGUGGCUGUGUUUGGCCAGCUUGUUGGGGAGACAAGGUUGUGGAGAAAGGGAUGUCUCCAUGCUAGUUCUGUAAGUGAACAGUAUGUGGCCCAGGUCAAGAUGGGGGCCCUUAACCAAGAGAGCCCGAAUUGCAGCCCUCCAGACUGGAGCUCUGGGAGAAAACCCAAUCCCAGUUUGACCCCCUGGGGUUUUUGGGGUGGCCAAAGGGCAUGGGCUGCAGAAACCUUCCCACAUGCAGCCUGCUAGUGCUAUUGACCACCCCCGACCUAAGGGAGGGCGUGAAACUGGAAGGGCCUGGUGUAACUCCUACCAAGGAAUGGGAGAGAUGCUGGGGCAUCCAUGGGAACAUUGGUGGCUUCGAACUUCACCAGGUCACCGGGUAAAUUGACCCCGCUCAGUUCAAUCUCGAAGGGGGGAGAGAUGUGACGAAGUGGGCCUGUUCUUGAUGUUUCCUCCGAGCAUUGCGGGGGUGCCUCGGUUUCCCCUAUGCAGUUCUUGAGUCUCUAGGUGGUGGGGUAAGGGUGUAUGAUCAUUGCAGAGCCCUAGAGGGCAGGUGUGUGCAGGAGUCUGGACACAGAGAAUGGCCGACACCCUGUUUCCUGGCAACUGAUGGCCUGGGCCCUUCCCCCCCUGCAAGGUGAGAGCUGAAGGGUUGGAGAACAAAGGAAUCAGGUGACCACCUGGCCCGGGAAAGGAACAAAGCCCAGAGGAGGAGGGGCUGGAGGGGGUUUCAGUUUGGGUCUGGCUGGGACAUGGAGUGAAGUGCAGACGUGGUUGUCUGGCUCACUGCCCCCCAAAAUGGACCCAGCUGAGGGGUCCCGUUCUCUGCACCUGCAAGCUCUGGUUUAGACCAUGUUCCUGUCGUCUAAUAAACCUUCUGUUUUACUGGCUGGGUGAGAGUCCCGUCUGACUGCGAAGUUGGGGUGCAGGACCCUCUGGCUUCCCCAGGAGCCCCGCCUGAGCGGACUCGCUGGGGGAAAGCGCACGGAGGGGCAGAGGAUGCUGAAUGCUCCGAGGUCAGACCCAGGAAGGUGGAAGCUGUGUGAGCUGCGUGUCCUGAAGACAGGCUGCUCACAGAAAGGCGACUACCCCAGAGUCCUGACUGACUUCAUGGGGAGCAGUUCCAGAGCAUCGCCCAGGGACUCCGUGACACCCCCACUGCCCCAUUAUUACUGUAAAUCCCUGACCCAGGAUUCCUGCCUCGGGGGAGGGGAUGGGAAAGGCUCUGAGCCCCGGGGUAGGGGCAGAUCCCCUCACUGCGAGGGGUUGGGGUCUCUGUCCCACCCUGGGGAUGGGGGAGGGGAGAGUGGGAGCUCCCAGCCUGGCCCCGGGGCCCCGCACUGAGAUCUCCCCAUGGCCCCUGCUCUGUCCCUGCCCUAGGAGCGGGGAGGGUCUCACCCAGCGCCGGCCCCAGGAGACCAGAAACUGGGAGGCCCCUGCCAGACUCUGAGCAGUCCCGGGGGGGGGCUGCAGCCAGACCCAGAUUCCCCUGAGCCUCCACACGCC